AAACAUCGCCUCUUGCAAAACGAACAAAUAAGAGGUCCCGCCUGCCCAGUGACCAUGUGUUCAACGGCCGCGGUAUUCUGACCGUGCGAAGGUAGCGCAAUCACUUGUCUCUUAAAUGGAGACCUGUAUGAAAGGCAUCACGAGGGCUUGACUGUCUCCCCUUUAAGGUCAAUGAAAUUGAUCUCCCCGUGCAGAAGCGGGGAUACGCUCGUAAGACGAGAAGACCCUAUGGAGCUUAAGACAUAAGGCGACCCACGUCAAAAACCCUCCCCCCUUAAGAGGAAAUGAACAAAGUGGGCCUCACCGAAAUGUCUUCGGUUGGGGCGACCGCGGGGAAAGACCAAACCCCCACAUGGAUUAAGACCACAAUAGCCUUAAAACCCAGACCUCCAAGUCAAAUCAACAGAAUUUCUGACCACCAAAGAGCCGGCAAUGCCGAUCAACGGACCGAGUU
rnacentral:rRNA from 1 species